rnacentral:rRNA from 1 species
GACGAACGCUGGCGGCGUGCCUAACACAUGCAAGUCGAGCGGAGUCGAUCGACGGAAGCCUUCGGGCGGAAGAUGGUUGACUUAGCGGCGGAUGGGUGAGUAACGCGUGGGCAACCUGCCUCGAAGACCGGGAUAACAGCCCGAAAGGGCUGCUAAUACCGGAUGUGGUCAAAGAUCCGCAUGGAUUUUUGAUUAAAGGGGAAACCCGUUUCGAGAUGGGCCCGCGUCCUAUCAGCUAGUUGGUGAGGUAAAAGCUCACCAAGGCGACGACGGGUAGCCGGCCUGAGAGGGUGACCGGCCACACUGGAACUGAGACACGGUCCAGACUCCUACGGGGGCAGCAGUGGGGAAUCUUCCACAAUGGGCGAAAGCCUGAUGGAGCGACGCCGCGUGAGCGAAGAAGGCCUCGGUUGUAAAGCUCUGUCUGGAGGGACGAAGGAAGUGACGGUACCUCCGGAGAAGGCCACGGCUAACUACGUG